rnacentral:rRNA from 1 species
UACGUAGUGGCAAGCGUUAUCCGGAAUUAUUGGGCGUAAAGAGCGCGCAGGUGGUUAAUUAAGUCUGAUGUGAAAGCCCACGGCUUAACCGUGGAGGGUCAUUGGAAACCGGUUGACUUGAGUGCAGAAGAGGGAAGUGGAAUUCCAUGUGUAGCGGUGAAAUGCGUAGAGAUAUGGAGGAACACCAGUGGCGAAGGCGGCUUCCUGGUCUGCAACUGACACUGAGGCGCGAAAGCGUGGGGAGCAAACAGG